UGGGGAAUCUUGGACAAUGGGGGCAACCCUGAUCCAGCCAUGCCGCGUGAGUGAUGAAGGCCUUAGGGUCGUAAAGCUCUUUCGCCUGUGAAGAUAAUGACGGUAGCAGGUAAAGAAACCCCGGCUAACUCCGUGCCAGCAGCCGCGGUAAUACGGAGGGGGUUAGCGUUGUUCGGAAUUACUGGGCGUAAAGCGCACGUAGGCGGACCAGAAAGUUGGGGGUGAAAUCCCGGGGGCUCAACCCCGGAACUGCCUCCAAAACUAUCGGUCUAGAGUUCGAGAGAGGUGAGUGGAAUUCCGAGUGUAGAGGUGAAAUUCGUAGAUAUUCGGAGGAACACCAGUGGCGAAGGCGGCUCACUGGCUCGAUACUGACGCUGAGGUGCGAAAGUGUGGGGAGCAAAACAGGAUUAGAUACCCUGGUAGUCCACACCGUAAACGAUGAAUGCCAGUCGUCGGAUAGCAUGCUAUUCGGUGACACACCUAACGGAUUAAGCAUUCCGCCUGGGGAGUACGGUCGCAAGAUUAAAACUC
rnacentral:rRNA from 1 species